rnacentral:rRNA from 1 species
GCGUUAAGUUGCAGGGUAUAGACCCGAAACCCGGUGAUCUAGCCAUGGGCAGGUUGAAGGUUGGGUAACACUAACUGGAGGACCGAACCGACUAAUGUUGAAAAAUUAGCGGAUGACCUGUGGCUGGGGGUGAAAGGCCAAUCAAACCGGGAGAUAGCUGGUUCUCCCCGAAAGCUAUUUAGGUAGCGCCUCGUGAACUCAUCUCCGGGGGUAGAGCACUGUUUCGGCUAGGGGGCCAUCCCGGCUUACCAACCCGAUGCAAACUGCGAAUACCGGAGAAUGUUAUCACGGGAGACACACGGCGGGUGCUAACGUCCGUCGUGAAGAGGGAAACAACCCAGACCGCCAGCUAAGGUCCCAAAGUCAUGGUUAAGUGGGAAACGAUGUGGGAAGGCCCAGACAGCCAGGAUGUUGGCUUAGAAGCAGCCAUCAUUUAAAGAAAGCGUAAUAGCUCACUGGUCGAGUCGGCCUGCGCGGAAGAUGUAACGGGGCUAAACCAUGCACCGAAGCUGCGGCAGCGACGCUUAUGCGUUGUUGGGUAGGGGAGCGUUCUGUAAGCCUGUGAAGGUGGCCUGUGAGGGUUGCUGGAGGUAUCAGAAGUGCGAAUGCUGACAUAAGUAACGAUAAAGCGGGUGAAAAGCCCGCUCGCCGGAAGACCAAGGGUUCCUGUCCAACGUUAAUCGGGGCAGGGUGAGUCGACCCCUAAGGCGAGGCCGAAAGGCGUAGUCGAUGGGAAACGGGUUAAUAUUCCCGUACUUGGUGUUACUGCGAAGGGGGGACGGAGAAGGCUAUGUUGGCCGGGCGACGGUUGUCCCGGUUUAAGCGUGUAGGUGUGUGUUCCAGGUAAAUCCGGUUCACUUUAACACUGAGGCGUGAUGACGAGGCACUACGGUGCUGAAGCAACAAAUGCCCUGCUUCCAGGAAAAGCCUCUAAGCAUCAGGUAACACGAAAUCGUACCCCAAACCGACACAGGUGGUCAGGUAGAGAAUACCAAGGCGCUUGAGAGAACUCGGGUGAAGGAACUAGGCAAAAUGGUGCCGUAACUUCGGGAGAAGGCACGCUGACACGUAGGUGAAGUGAUUUACUCAUGGAGCUGAAGUCAGUCGAAGAUACCAGCUGGCUGCAACUGUUUAUUAAAAACACAGCACUGUGCAAACACGAAAGUGGACGUAUACGGUGUGACGCCUGCCCGGUGCCGGAAGGUUAAUUGAUGGGGUCAGCGCAAGCGAAGCUCCUGAUCGAAGCCCCGGUAAACGGCGGCCGUAACUAUAACGGUCCUAAGGUAGCGAAAUUCCUUGUCGGGUAAGUUCCGACCUGCACGAAUGGCGUAAUGAUGGCCAGGCUGUCUCCACCCGAGACUCAGUGAAAUUGAACUCGCUGUGAAGAUGCAGUGUACCCGCGGCAAGACGGAAAGACCCCGUGAACCUUUACUAUAGCUUGACACUGAACAUUGAGCCUUGAUGUGUAGGAUAGGUGGGAGGCUUUGAAGCGUGGACGCCAGUCUGCGUGGAGCCGACCUUGAAAUACCACCCUUUAAUGUUUGAUGUUCUAACGUGGACCCGUAAUCCGGGUUGCGGACAGUGUCUGGUGGGUAGUUUGACUGGGGCGGUCUCCUCCUAAAGAGUAACGGAGGAGCACGAAGGUUGGCUAAUCCUGGUCGGACAUCAGGAGGUUAGUGCAAUGGCAUAAGCCAGCUUGACUGCGAGCGUGACGGCGCGAGCAGGUGCGAAAGCAGGUCAUAGUGAUCCGGUGGUUCUGAAUGGAAGGGCCAUCGCUCAACGGAUAAAAGGUACUCCGGGGAUAACAGGCUGAUACCGCCCAAGAGUUCAUAUCGACGGCGGUGUUUGGCACCUCGAUGUCGGCUCAUCACAUCCUGGGGCUGAAGUAGGUCCCAAGGGUAUGGCUGUUCGCCAUUUAAAGUGGUACGCGAGCUGGGUUUAGAACGUCGUGAGACAGUUCGGUCCCUAUCUGCCGUGGGCGCUGGAGAACUGAGGGGGGCUGCUCCUAGUACGAGAGGACCGGAGUGGACGCAUCACUGGUGUUCGGGUUGUCAUGCCAAUGGCACUGCCCGGUAGCUAAAUGCGGAAGAGAUAAGUGCUGAAAGCAUCUAAGCACGAAACUUGCCCCGAGAUGAGUUCU